rnacentral:rRNA from 1 species
GAUGAACGCUGGCGGCGUGCCUAAUACAUGCAAGUCGAGCGAACGGACGAGAAGCUUGCUUCUCUGAUGUUAGCGGCGGACGGGUGAGUAACACGUGGAUAACCUACCUAUAAGACUGGGAUAACUUCGGGAAACCGGAGCUAAUACCGGAUAAUCUUUUGAACCGCAUGGUUCAAAAGUGAAAGACGGUCUUGCUGUCACUUAUAGAUGGAUCCGCGCUGCAUUAGCUAGUUGGUAAGGUAACGGCUUACCAAGGCAACGAUGCAUAGCCGACCUGAGAGGGUGAUCGGCCACACUGGAACUGAGACACGGUCCAGACUCCUACGGGAGGCAGCAGUAGGGAAGCUUCCGCAAUGGGCGAAAGCCUGACGGAGCAACGCCGCGUGAGUGAUGAAGGUCUUCGGAUCGUAAAACUCUGUUAUUAGGGAAGAACAUAUGUGUAAGUAACUGUGCACAUCUUGACGGUACCUAAUCAGAAAGCCACGGCUAACUACGUG